CCGAAGUGACGAUAAAAUUCAUUUGUCUGUCAAUCCUCUGAUUCUCAUUGAUGUAAUUUAUGAAUCCCGACAGGUUCUGAUCGU
rfam:Medicago truncatula strain A17 chromosome 4, whole genome shotgun sequence.